UAGGGAAUCUUCGGCAAUGGGGGGAACCCUGACCGAGCAACGCCGCGUGAGUGAAGAAGGUUUUCGGAUCGUAAAGCUCUGUUGUUAAGGAAGAACGAGUGUGAGAAUGGAAAGUUCAUACUGUGACGGUAUCUAACCAGAAAGCCACGGCUAACUACGUGCCAGCAGCCGCGGUAAUACGUAGGUGGCAAGCGUUGUCCGGAUUUAUUGGGCGUAAAGCGAGCGCAGGCGGUCAAUUAAGUCUGAUGUGAAAGCCCCCGGCUCAACCGGGGAGGGUCAUUGGAAACUGGUUGACUUGAGUGCAGAAGAGGAGAGUGGAAUUCCAAGUGUAGCGGUGAAAUGCGUAGAUAUAUGGAGGAACACCAGUGGCGAAGGCGACUCUCUGGUCUGUAACUGACGCUGAGGCUCGAAAGCGUGGGUAGCAAACAGG
rnacentral:rRNA from 1 species